GAUGAACGCUGGCGGCGUGCUUAACACAUGCAAGUCGAACGGAAAGGCCCAAGCUUGCUUGGGUACUCGAGUGGCGAACGGGUGAGUAACACGUGGGUGAUCUGCCCUGCACUUCGGGAUAAGCCUGGGAAACUGGGUCUAAUACCGGAUAGGACCACAUUUUGGAUGGUGUGGUGGAAAGUUUUUCGGUGUGGGAUGAGCUCGCGGCCUAUCAGCUUGUUGGUGGGGUAAUGGCCUACCAAGGCGUCGACGGGUAGCCGGCCUGAGAGGGUGUACGGCCACAUUGGGACUGAGAUACGGCCCAGACUCCUACGGGAGGCAGCAGUGGGGAAUAUUGCACAAUGGGCGCAAGCCAGAUGCAGCGACGCCGCGUGGGGGAUGACGGCCUUCGGGUUGUAAACUCCUUUCGCUAGGGACGAAGCGUUAUGUGACGGUACCUGGAGAAGAAGCACCGGCUAACUACGUG
rnacentral:rRNA from 1 species